rnacentral:lncRNA from 1 species
CUGCAGUCAGAUCUGUGGUGGGACCCUCUGACGACUGUUCACAAAAACUGGUAAGUUCUGUUACCAUUGUUACCUAAUCAGACUCUCCAACUAAACAGGCUCUCUAAGCACACAUAUAAUCUAACCAGUCUCACUAACCACACAUUUCUCUUUCUAUUGUGCUUUUUUUUUCUUCUGUGUGUAUUUGUGACGGAGUUCCAGCUCUGCAUUGAACGGUCAGAUGUGACCGGUGUGGUUGGGUUGUCUAAAGACUGUUUACAAAAACUGCUCUGCAGUGAACAGUCAGAUCUGUGGUGGGACCCUCUGACGAAUGUUCACAAAAACUGCUCUGCAGUGAACAGUCAGAUCUGUGCUUGGGUUGUCUAAAGACUGUUUACAAAAACUGGUAAGCUUUGUUACCAUUGGUACCUAUAUUCUAACCAGUCUCACUAACCACAGAUUUUUCUUUCCGUCAUACCCUAUAUUAACUGGAAAAUAUAUACACAAGCUUUUAUUUGAAUGAUAACUUUUAACCUGAUAUCGGCAGCUGAUAAUGUGUGUAAUAAUGCGUUUUUUCAAAUUGCUGGGCUUAUUUAUUUAUUUAUGUGACAGCGUCUUUGCCUGUGCCGCCAAUUGGAGGCAUGGCAUUUCUUCACUAUGCCUCUAUGGAAUCCAGCGGCUCCCAGUGCAAUUAAUAGCUAAAUCCAGAGCUGGCUGUAUGGAGCUGCAGGGCUGUGCAGGGCCGCCAGGAGGCGCUGCUGCUUCUGAUUUAGUCAGGGCUGAUUCAGCUGUGGGCUCAGCGAGCACUGAUGCUCACCUCCUCACACUGCAAUACUCCAAAGAAUACUUUACAUAACAUGUUACUACUAAAAUUAUUAAACACUAACACAUUACUGUCCCUUCACAGAAGGAGGAGGUUAUCUUUUUCUUUUUUCUCCACAUAGUUAUUGUUAAUAAUAAUAAUAAUAAUAAUAAUAAUAAUAAUAAUUUUUAUUAUUAUUAUAUUAUUAUUACUACUAUUAUCAUCAUCAUACUGUGAAUCUCACACCUAUUCUCCAGUCUUCUGGAUGUCCAGUCAUGUUCAUCAUUUCCCACUCAUUCAUCACCUGUGAUCAGGUAAUAAAGAAGUUAUUAAGCAAGAAGUUAUCA